rnacentral:rRNA from 1 species
UACGUAGGGGGCAAGCGUUGUCCGGAUUUACUGGGCGUAAAGAGCGUGUAGGCGGCUUUACAGGUCCGUUGUGAAAACUCGAGGCUCAACCUCGAGACGCCGGUGGAAACCGUAAAGCUAGAGUCCGGAAGAGGAGAGUGGAAUUCCUGGUGUAGCGGUGAAAUGCGCAGAUAUCAGGAAGAACACCCGUGGCGAAGGCGGCUCUCUGGUACGUGACUGACGCUGAGACGCGAAAGCGUGGGGAGCGAACAGG